UUGCAUAUACAGCAGAAACCCCCAUGCUUUCUUUGUUACAGUGACUUGGUUUCUUUGAAGGUCAGUGUACUCAACUACAUGAUUACACUGCUCAGACUUUCUUGAAUUUCUAUAUGGCUAGAGUUCAGAUGAUGUAUUACAAGCAGAAAUGCAAAUUCACUUCUAUGAAGUAUUCUUAAAAGGAUCUAAUUUAGCCAGGAUAUGUACCCUUUUGUUCUUUCUCCUUUCUCCCUUUUUUUUAGGCACAAAUUUCUAUGUUGGACCUCCAGCAGCCCUUCUAGAACAUGAUCUAAAAAGGAAGGCACCUAUGAAGAGACUAGAAGAGAAAGAUGCCAGAAACCUGGGUCUCCGAUGUUUCUAUAGCUGCGGAUGUGUUCAGUGUGUGGUUUAAAGAUUCAGCCUCCUCAGAAGAGCUGUGGGUUUCAGGUGAGUCACUUCUGACCUAGUCCAGAGAUUUGAGUCAUGAUUGGUUUAAGCCACUCUUUGUUCCAAUCAUCUUUCCAUUACUUGACUUGGGAGAAAGCAGGGGAUAUAACUAUGGCCGAAAGAUAUGAAGUGAACUAUACUGGGAAGUUUCUGGGAUUAAUUGUCCUGUUCUUCAAAAGAGACACAAAGAAUAAAAAUUUAGGCAUCGUCAUGUCUGAAAGAGACCCCUAGGAAUUCUGUAACCAUGUUGUAGAGCUGGCCUUUGAUGAAAUCAUGUGCAGAGAAGGGUAGAGUGACGCGCAUGACCAGAGCUCUUACAAUGUAGUAUGUGGAGCAUCCCUGUAUUUGAACUUCACAUCUUGUGAGAUAAUACACUUUACCAACAAUGAUGUCAAUUGAGUUAGAGUUUACCUGUGACUAAAAGCUUGUUUACUAAUAUACAUUUCUAGAUUUUUUUCUAAUAUUUUUCCAUUUUUAUGUUUCAAAGUAAUUUAUGCAGUUAUUAUUGGUUUGGUUUUUUUUUUUUUGGUAUUCUCUAAGUUCUCACGUUGUAUAUGAAUUCAGUUUGUUUUAAUGCUUCUGUAUUUAAUAAUGAAAAGCUUCCUAUAAGUAUGGCUUUAGUUAUAGAUCAACAUUGCAUUAGCCUUAUUGUUAAAACCUUUUAUUAUUUAGCAAUUAUAUACAAAUAUAUAGACAUAAUAUCUUUUAAUAUAUAUAUACAUAUGUCAUGUGCAUGUUGAAAUGUUUAUUUUAAUUAGAAUAUUAAUACCCACUUUUAGUUAUACUGGAUUCUGAAUUUAAGAAAAGUAGUGUAGAAUUAUUCCUUGGAGAGAUGAAAGUAUGUUUCCUACUAUAGUGACUAGUUUGUCCCAUGAAUAUAUUCACUUAAUAAUACAAAAAGUUCAGUGCAUUUUUAAGCAAUUUAUUUUAUUCUCAUCUUCUGUAUUAUUUAUUUUUUGCUUUCUUGACCUUUCAAAGAUUAUUUUUUCUGGUAAUUUACUAUGUUUAAACUGCUUUAACUUUAUCAAUUUUCUUAUAUAAAAUAUAUAUGAUAAUAUUACUGAUUGUCUUUACUUGAUUUCUUUUCCAUUACAUUCAUAACUCCAUAUAAAAAUAUGCCACAAAAUAAUUGAGCCUCCCAAAUUAUGGAUUAUUUUUACUUUACUCCAUUAUUUCAAAUAUAUUACUCUCUUAGAUGCAUAUACUAAGCAUCAGAAAUUCUCAGAAUAAUCAACAGAACCAUUUAUUUAUAGCUACUGCCAUAAACAAUGAAUUUUAUCCCAAAUAUCAAAGGGUAUAGUUAGAAGAGAAAUAAAAU
rnacentral:lncRNA from 1 species